CCUGACUCAAGAUCAGGACUUUAAGAAUGUGUAACAGAAAAAGGGAGCCGGGAAGACUGUCUUACUUCACUGCUUGGACUGGAGUGAGGAGAAUCCAGAAGUCAGAGUGGCUGCAGCUGAGAUGGAGAAGAACUUGCUGCUUAGAGGAAGGGGACUGUAAGUAGCCAAGAUGGGUCUUGGGGUACAGCUGAAAGGAAGGCAUUUGGAGGGACCUGGGUGAUGCCAGCCACAGCCAAAUCAUUUCCAGAGGGAGGGCUUCCUUGCCACUUCCCUCCAAUGUGCCACUUCUACUGCCUAGAGCCUGGAUGACCACGGGGUCCUGUGCCUCCUUGUCUCUCUGUGCUCAUCUUGCCUGUGUCACUCAUCAGUCAGAAGUGCCUUCAGGGUGGGGACAGGAACUUGUUCACUGUUGAAUCUCCAGUGCUUACUGCUCAGUGCCUUCCCUGUGGCCAAUCCUCUGUAGAUGUGAUUCAUUGACUGCCUGCAUGUCUGAAUGAGUGAAUAAAUGAAUGAAUGACUAAUCAUUGAAUAACAGAAUAAAGCAAAUUCAAGAACCUUGUCUCAGCCUGUUUUGAGUCUAUUGAAGUGUUGCCCAAGUGUCAGUUAGGGUCACCUAAUUCCUUAAGAAUUAGAUAAACUUCCUUUGAGCCAUCUAUUUCACAAAUGGGAAAUCCAGAGGUCUCCCUAACAUUUCUGUGGGUUCUUAGGGCUGUGGGCUAGGGUGUGGAUGGAGAAAUAGUGGGAGAGAGGCUUAUGGUUUCCACUGGUUCUAAACUUCUGCUUCCUCAGUUUAAAGACUGUCUCCAUCCAACUCUGCCUUCUCCUAUGUGUGCAGUACAAUCUCUUCCUUUUUCCACAUGAUCCACACUCCCGCCAAACAAGGCAAGUUGUGUGUGGAUCAGACUUCACUGUGGUACUAGGGGUUGGGGCAGAGGAGGAGUUUACAUCAUGACAACGCAGCAGUUCCAAAUUAAAUGUAUUCUUACAAUCCUUUGACAUCCCACCACUAGAGAUGUCUUGUUGGUUGUUUUAUUACAGUGGACUCCAAUCUUAAGCCAUCUUAUGAUCUUCUCUUUACUUGUUUGCCCUCCUCUUUUUCUUCUUCUCAUCGCUUCCACUCCAGGUUGCUUUCAGGACCUUCAAAAUCUCUUUGUAUUUUAAAGACCAAUUUACCCCACCAAGAGCAUCCCUGAUAAUAAAAUAACUAACAACUGCAGAGUACUUACAGCCUUUUUUUUUUUUUUUUUUUUUUUUUGAGACAGAGUUUCGAUCUUGUUGCCCAGGCUGGAGUACAAUGGCAUGAUCUCGGCUCACCGCAACCUCCGCCUCCAAGGUUCAAGUGAUUCUCCGCCUCAGCCUCCCGAGUAGUUGGGAUUACAGGCAUGCACCACCAUGCCCGGCUAAUUUUUUGUAUUUUUAGUAGAGACAGGGCUUCUGCAUGUUGGUCAGGCUGGUUUUGAACUCCCAACCUCAGGUGAUCUGCCCACCUUGGCCUCCCAAAGUGCUGGGAUUACAGACGUGAGCCACCAUGCCCGGCCCCUUGAUAGCUCUUAAUACAUAUGCAUAGAGAUGUACAAGUGUAUGUGUGCACGUGGGUGGUGGUGUGAGAGAGGUUUAGGUGGCAUCCUUCAUCUGGCCCAGGACCACCAAGGUAAGAUCCAACCCAGCUCUCCCUUGUCUUCCUGCUAUGGGGGCAAUGAACAGGAGCCUGCAGGUCCCCUGGCUGUAAGAAGUACCCAACUCUAGGGCCAAGGAAUGAGAGUAAGAAGCAGAGGGCCACUCUGUGAUUUCUCCUUUGCUUCACCAAUGGGCCUCUGCUUUAAGUGCAAAAGCGGUUAAAGGUGCUUGAGGCUUAAUGUGUCUCAUUAAGGGCUUGGGCUGGCGAUGGCUGCCUCUCUCUGCUGAAGGCUGUGACUCCCUUUAAACAGCUCGCUCCCAUGGCCAUGGGUCUCUCUGUGUGUCCACUCCCUCCCUUGCCCCUCAGGUCUAGAGAUAGCAACAGCUCCCCACUGUUGCUAGUUUCAGGAUAAAUCACAGGAUUGUUGCCCUUAAUCUGGUUCCCACCAUGCGACUGAUCUCUUUAUUAAACUCUCUUCAAUCAUGCUAAGUGUGUCCUCAUUUCAGUUCAGACUCUUCCUUUGAGUCCUUUGUGCCCUAGUCCUAGUUUUAAGAGUCUUGGCUACCUGUAGGAGACCUUAAGGGUCCCUCAGGUGUUGCUGGGUUCUCUAAGAACUCCUUAGAGACCUGUUUGAGACAAGGUCUUGCUCUCUUGCUCAGAGUGGAGUGAAGUGGCACAAUCACAUCUCACUGCAGCCUCGGUCUCCUGGGCUCAAGCAAUCCUUCCACCUCAGCCUACCGCGCAGCUGGGACCACGCCUGGCUAAUUUUUAAUUUUUGUAGAGACGGGGUCUCACUAUGUUACCAGGCUGGUCUCCAACUCCUGAGCUCAAGCGAUUCUCUCACCUCUGCUUUCCAAAGUGCUGAGAUUACAGGUGUGGGCCACCGUGCCUAGCCUAGGUUUUGUAAGCAAUUAUGCAACCUUCACCCUUUCCCCCUAGAGGCUCUAAAACUCUGCCAUUAGAGAGUCCUUCUCAAGCAAACCAGGGAUAUGCUCUGGUAUGAAAAGGUGGUGGGUUUUCCAGUUUGUUCUGAGGGCCCAAGCCCCUUUAGAACAAGAAUCAAAACAAUGCCUGGGACCUGCCCUGUUAUCCAACCCUAUGCUCUCUCUUCCUGGUGGAGGCUCCAGAAUUUCUGGAUCACUGGAUUUAGGGGAUGCAAUCCAGCUGGAAGAGAGUGGAACAGAGUUAGGGAACUUGUCUUGAAGCUGCAAUUGCAGGGUUUUGCACCGAGUGUUUUAGGAGGUGGCUUGUGUGGGGUGGUGGUGAGGGGGUGCUGAUGAGAUUUUAGAGGAAGGUUUUGAGCCUGGGCACUGCUACUGGCUUCCCCUUUUGUUAGAACCUGGCCAUGCCUCUGAACAUGGCUUCUCUUCUCUCUGUGGACUGACAGCACCUGAGGGAGGGCAGGGAACAACCAGGGAGGCCCCAGCAUGGGAACAGAGAAGAGAGACAGGCAGCCCUGCCUGUACCAGGGACCUCUUGAAGACUGUGUGGAUGGUCCCUGACUUAGGAUUGUUUGAUUUAGGAUUUUUUGACUUUAGAUGGUACAAAAGUGAUACACAUUCAGCAGAAACUGUACUUUGAGUUUUUGGAAUUGGGCUACAUUUGUUGAUAUUGUUUUUUCUAUUGCAAUUAAGUCUAAUAGAAGAGAUGUUAUAUUUUGGUUGCAGUGAGGUUUGAAUAUGAUAUCAUGUGGUGUAUUGUAAUGGGAAGAAACCUAAUAUGUUGAAGAAUUUAUAUGUGUGUGAAGGGGAUUCAAGUUUGAGAUUAUUAGUCAUAAGAUUAAGUUCCACUGCUACUGUAAAUCCUAGAAUGCUUAUGCCAAGGGCUUUAAGUUUUAGUUUAGUUUAACACAACCAUUCUGUUUUCCAACUUCAGUAUAGUAUUCAAUAAAUUACAUGAGAUAUUUAACACUAUUAUAAAAUAAGCUUUGUGUUCAAUGAUUUGCUCAACUGUAGAGUAAUGUAAGUGUUCUGAGGACUUUUAAGGUAGACUAGGCUAAGCUCUGAUGUUCAGUAGGUUAGGCAUAUUCAAUGCAUUUUGGAUUUUUAGUACUUUCAACUUAUGGUGGGUUUAUCAGGAUGUAACCCCAUUGUAAAUCAAGGUGCAUCUAUAUGUGAAAGAAAGUUAGUAGAGAGCCCUGUUCAUCUACCAAGUCCUGCAGUGAGGACCAGGGGUGGGGUUGGGAGUGGUGCUCUGCAGGAAGCAGGAAAUCACCCUCUCCAGUUACCUGGGGGCAGGGGAGCUG
rnacentral:lncRNA from 10 species